rnacentral:misc_RNA from 1 species
GAUGAAGAACGUAGCGAAAUGCGAUAAGUAAUGUGAAUUGCAGAAUUCAGUGAAUCAUCGAAUCUUUGAACGCAUCUUGCGCUCCUUGGUAUUCUGAGGAGCAUGCCUGUUUGAGUGUCAUUAAAUUCUCAACUACACUGACUUUGAAUUGGUGUGGCUUGGAUUUGGGGGGAAAAUUGUUGUGGGCUUUUUGUAUAGUCUGCUCCCCUGAAAUUGAUUAGCGGUACCUUUGUGGAACUGUCUACAGGUGUGAUAAUUAUCUACAACUUAGACAUCUGCUGGAAUGCUGCUUUCUAAACCUUACUUGUAUUGACAAUCUUGACCUCAAAUCAGGUAGGACUACCCGCUGAACUUAAGCAUAUCAAUAAGCGGAGGA